AACGAACGCUGGCGGCAGGCUUAACACAUGCAAGUCGAACGCCCCGCAAGGGGAGUGGCAGACGGGUGAGUAACGCGUGGGAACAUACCCUUUCCUGCGGAAUAGCUCCGGGAAACUGGAAUUAAUACCGCAUACGCCCUACGGGGGAAAGAUUUAUCGGGGAAGGAUUGGCCCGCGUUGGAUUAGCUAGUUGGUGGGGUAAGGGCCUACCAAGGCGACGAUCCAUAGCUGGUCUGAGAGGAUGAUCAGCCACAUUGGGACUGAGACACGGCCCAAACUCCUACGGGAGGCAGCAGUGGGGAAUAUUGGACAAUGGGCGCAAGCCUGAUCCAGCCAUGCCGCGUGAGUGAUGAAGGCCUUAGGGUUGUAAAGCUCUUUCACCGAUGAAGAUAAUGACGGUAGUCGGAGAAGAAGCCCCGGCUAACUUCGUGCCAGCCGCCGCCGUAAAAC
rnacentral:rRNA from 1 species